UAUUCCAAAUAAUGUUGGAGCCAGAGUACACCCCUGUUUCACCCCAUUCUUUGUGGUGAAUGGUUCCGAUGAUGUGCCGUCGAAGUUAACGGUGCACUGCGUAUCUUCAUGGAAGGAGGUUGUGAUGCUGAGCAACUGCGGAGGACAGCCAAUCUUCUUCAGUAUUUGGAAUAAACCACUUCGGCUCACCGAAUCAAAAGCUUUAAUCUUUCUUUUCUGAAUCCACACUGCGACUCCGGAUACACACGGUCAGCUAGGACCUGUAGGCGGGCAAGGAUAACACGGGCAAAGACCUUGCCAACUACGUUCAGUAGAGAGAUACCACG